GAUGAACGCUGGCGGCGUGCCUAAUACAUGCAAGUCGAACGAAACUUCUUUAUCACCGAGUGCUUGCACUCACCGAUAAAGAGUUGAGUGGCGAACGGGUGAGUAACACGUGGGCAGCCUGCCCAAAAGAGGGGGAUAACACUUGGAAACAGGUGCUAAUACCGCAUAACCAUAGUUACCGCAUGGUAACUAUGUAAAAGGUGGCUAUACUACCGCUUUUGGAUGGGCCCGCGGCGCAUUAACUAGUUGGUAGGGUAAAGGCUUACCAAGGCAAUGAUGCGUAGCCGAAUUGAGAGGUUGAUCGGCCACAUUGGGACUGAGACACGGCCCAAACUCCUACGGGAGGCAGCAGUAGGGAAUCUUCCACAAUGGGCGAAAGCCUGAUGGAGCAACGCCGCGUGGGUGAAGAAGGUCUUCGGAUCGUAAAACCCUGUUGUUAGAGAAGAAAGUGCGUGAGAGUAACUGUUCACGUUUCGACGGUAUCUAACCAGAAAGCCACGGCUAACUACGUG
rnacentral:rRNA from 1 species